CGUGAGGUGAGGAUGCAGGCGUU
rnacentral:misc_RNA from 1 species